UACGUAGGGGGCUAGCGUUGUCCGGAAUCAUUGGGCGUAAAGCGCGUGUAGGCGGUCCGGUAAGUCCGCUGUGAAAGUCGGGGGCUCAACCCUCGGAUGCCGGUGGAUACUGUCGGGCUUGAGUACGGAAGAGGCGAGUGGAAUUCCUGGUGUAGCGGUGAAAUGCGCAGAUAUCAGGAGGAACACCGGUGGCGAAGGCGGAUCUCUGGGCCUUACCUGACGCUCAGGCGCGAAAGCUAGGGGAGCGAACAGG
rnacentral:rRNA from 1 species